UGGAGAGAUGGCCGAGCGGCUGAAGGCGCACGCCUGGAAAGUGUGUUAGGCGCGAGAGCGUCUACGUGGGUUCAAAUCCCACUCUCUCCGU
rnacentral:tRNA from 1 species